AAUCAACGCUGGCGGCGUGCCUCAGACAUGCAAGUCGAACGAUUAAGACUUCCUUCGGGAAGUGAAUAAAGUGGCGCACGGGUGAGUAACACGUAAGUAAUCUACCCUUGAGUGGGGAAUAACCCGGGGAAACCCGAGCUAAUACCGCAUAAUGCAGCGGCAUCGCAAGAUGACAGUUGUUAAAGGAGCAAUCCGCUUAAAGAGGAGCUUGCGGCAGAUUAGCUAGUUGGUAAGGUAAUGGCUUACCAAGGCUACGAUCUGUAUCCGGUCUAAGAGGACGGUCGGACACACUGACACUGAAUAACGGGUCAGACUCCUACGGGAGGCAGCAGUCGGGAAUUUUGGGCAAUGGGCGAAAGCCUGACCCAGCAACGCCGCGUGAAGGAUGAAGUAUUUCGGUAUGUAAACUUCGAAAGAAUAGGAAGAAUAAAUGACGGUACUAUUUAUAAGCUCCGGCUAACUACGUGCCAGCCGCCGCCGUAACAC
rnacentral:rRNA from 1 species